rnacentral:rRNA from 1 species
GCUUACACAUGCAGUCGAGCGGUAACAGAUCUAGCUUGCUAGAUGCUGACGAGCGGCGGACGGGUGAGUAAUGCAUAGGAAACUGCCCAGUAGUGGGGGAUAGCCCGGGGAAACCCGGAUUAAUACCGCGUACGCCCUUCGGGGGAAAGCAGGGGAUCUUCGGACCUUGCGCUAUUGGAUGUGCCUAUGUCGGAUUAGCUAGUUGGUGGGGUAAAGGCCUACCAAGGCGACAAUCCGUAGCUGGUCUGAGAGGAUGAUCAGCCACAUCGGGGACUGAGACACGGCCCGAACUCCUACGGGAGGCAGCAGUGGGGAAUAUUGGACAAUGGGGGCAACCCUGAUCCCAGCCAUGCCGCGUGUGUGAAGAAGGCUUUCGGGUUGUAAAGCACUUUCAGUGAGGAGGAAAACUCUGCGACUAAUACUCGUAGGGCUUGACGUUACUCACAGAAGAAGCACCGGCUAACUCCGUGCCAGCAGCCGCGGUAAUACGGAGGGUGCAAGCGUUAAUCGGAAUUACUGGGCGUAAAGCGCGCGUAGGUGGUUUGAUAAGCGAGAUGUGAAAGCCCCGGGCUUAACCUGGGAACGGCAUUUCGAACUGUCAGGCUAGAGUAUGGUAGAGGGUAGUGGAAUUUCCUGUGUAGCGGUGAAAUGCGUAGAUAUAGGAAGGAACACCAGUGGCGAAGGCGGCUACCUGGACCAAUACUGACACUGAGGUGCGAAAGCGUGGGGAGCAAACAGGAUUAGAUACCCUGGUAGUCCACGCCGUAAACGAUGUCUACUAGCCGUUGGGACUCUUGAAGUCUUAGUGGCGCAGCUAACGCACUAAGUAGACCGCCUGGGGGAGUACGGCCGCAAGGUUAAAACUCAAAUGAAUUGACGGGGGCCCGCACAAGCGGUGGAGCAUGUGGUUUAAUUCGACGCAACGCGAAGAACCUUACCUGGCCUUGACAUGCAGAGAACUUUCCAGAGAUGGAUUGGUGCCUUCGGGAACUCUGACACAGGUGCUGCAUGGCCGUCGUCAGCUCGUGUCGUGAGAUGUUGGGUUAAGUCCCGUAACGAGCGCAACCCCUAUCCCUAGUUGCUAGCAGUUCGGCUGAGAACUCUAGGGAGACUGCCGGUGACAAACCGGAGGAAGGUGGGGAUGACGUCAGGUCAUCAUGGCCCUUACGGCCAGGGCUACACACGUGCUACAAUGGUGCGCACAGAGGGCUGCAAACCCGCGAGGGGGAGCCAAUCUCACAAAACGCAUCGUAGUCCGGAUCGCAGUCUGCAACUCGACUGCGUGAAGUC